AAGACCUUGCACUUUUGGAGCGGCCGAUGUCUGAUUAGCUAGUUGGCGGGGUAAUGGCCUACCAAAGCGUCGAUCGGUAGCUGGUCUGAGAGGACGGCCAGCCACACUGGGACUGAGACACGGCCCAGACUCCUACGGGAGGCAGCAGUGGGGAAUUUUGGACAAUGGGCGCAAGCCUGAUCCAGCCAUGCCGCGUGAGUGAAGAAGGCCUUCGGGUUGUAAAGCUCUUUCAGCCGGGAAGAAAAGGUUGCGAUUAAUAAUCGCAAUUUAUGACGGUACCGGAAGAAGAAGCACCGGCUAACUACGUGCCAGCAGCCGCGGUAAUACGUAGGGUGCGAGCGUUAAUCGGAAUUACUGGGCGUAAAGGGUGCGCAGGCGGUUUUGUAAGUCAGAUGUGAAAWCCCCGGGCUUAACCUGGGAACU
rnacentral:rRNA from 1 species